rnacentral:lncRNA from 1 species
CGCCAGACCCGAUAAAGGGUUUUUGCGCACGAUGUAAGGACUGAGAUUUUUGACAGUGCAACUAAACUCUCUGUUGAUGAUGUUUAUGUGUGUAAUUUAAUUAUAUAAGCACUCGUCAAGUUUCAGGAGAAACUGAGCUAAAAUGGAGAAGAUACGCGAUUUUUUAGUUUUCACUUAAGUGAAUAGUAACUUCGGUUUUCCGGAGA